rnacentral:rRNA from 1 species
AGCGAACGCUGGCGGCAGGCCUAACACAUGCAAGUCGAACGAACUCUUCGGAGUUAGUGGCGGACGGGUGAGUAACACGUGGGAACGUGCCUUUUGGUUCGGAAUAACUCAGGGAAACUUGUGCUAAUACCGAAUGUGCCCUUCGGGGGAAAGAUUUAUCGCCAUUAGAGCGGCCCGCGUCUGAUUAGCUAGUUGGUGAGGUAACGGCUCACCAAGGCGACGAUCAGUAGCUGGUCUGAGAGGAUGACCAGCCACACUGGGACUGAGACACGGCCCAGACUCCUACGGGAAGCAGCAGUGGGGAAUCUUGCGCAAUGGGCGAAAGACUGACGCAGCCAUGCCGCGUGAAUGAUGAAGGUCUUAGGAUUGUAAAAUUCUUUCACCGGGGACGAUAAUGACGGUACCCGGAGAAGAAGCCCCGGCUAACUUCGUG